GAUUACAGCUCUGUAUUGUAUUUGUGAUGCCUUCGAGUCAUGAAAGAAAGGAAAAAAAACCAAAGGGAGAAGUUUCUUUCAAUUGACUUCUAUUUCCACAGGUGUUUUUUUUUUGGUUGUUGGCUUAUUUUUUUUUGGGUGGGGGGCAGGAAAUUAGUCCACUUUAAUGCUGUGGUCGAGAAGGAAACUCGUGGACCUCUUGUGCAGAGCCUCAUCUUUGCUUUCAGAUUUAUUUUCUCAAAAGUUUUAGGUUUUGUACACACAGAGAGAGGAGUAUGAACACAUGAGAUAAAUAGGCAGAGUGGUGAAUGUCAAUGCAAAGCUUGUGGUUUACACUGAGAGAGAUUCAAACAGUAUUUGUUGUGCAGUCACUCCUAGAAUUGGACAAAUGUGAAACAGUCCCUUCAGUUAGUUUGGCAAGUGCUUCAAUCAUGAUGAACAGCAAAGCUGGACACAGCAAUGCAUCAUUCUGUUUACAUUAUACGUUUCAAUGCCUUCAUAAAAAAAAAACAAUGGACUGAUUACAACACGUUUAAUUAAAUUGAACUUUUUAUUUCCUUCAAAAUCGCCAGGAGAGGUGAAAUGUGCAUUCUGGAUUUUUAUACAAACAUUUUCUACAUUUGGAAUGGAACCAGACACACUUUUCCAUCGACGACGUUUCUGUUGCAAAUUGCAAACGUGUAAAUUAUUCCUGAAAAAGUCUUGCAAACGAGCUUCCCUGCACAAAGGUGCAAAGGGGUUCAUUGGGUGAUCUCCAUCUGCUCACAAUAUGUGAAGACCUAAGUAAAUGUACUGUGUAAUAUUAUUGCUGCAAGACGGUGGUGUUGAAAUUAGUGCACAUUUAUCUUGACCAACAAUGCUGCAACACUGAGCUCGAAGAGAACAAGUGAAGAUUUGGAGUGGAAUCGUGACCAGAUGUGAACUGUGAAGUUACAAUGAAAAUGCCAGAGAGAACAGGGGGAAAAAAUAUGAUCAGUAUGUUUGGACUGGGGAGACCUCAAUGAUCACCAACUCUUUUGGAUUUGGUACUCACAUACUCAUCAUUUACCCUUUGAAAAUGCUCAGAAGAAGUGGACUCCGUGGGGCAACACUGUAAGAACUUGCUUUUGAGUAGUGAGGGACAGUCUUCCAAUUGCUCAAAAUCAGCAACUUUUAAUCAAAAACCCAGAAAGGAGUGAAUUGGCGAUUCCUAGUUACUGAACUGAACUGAGUCUGACAGCAAACGUGUCUUCAAACAAACAGUCUAUGUUGUGACCAAAUCAAUACCUGUUGCUGAAGGAUGACAGAAAUGGUGAGCUGAUGCUACAGAAUGGACAAGUCAUUACCAACGUCAUGGAUUGCUGCAUUUGUUGACGGGAACUAACUGUGACCCCUUGUGUGGCCGUGGGGAGAAAUUACUGCAGAUAUCUUGCCUUUGACUAAUUCGGAAUCCUUCUGAUAACGCCUCCAGACACUGCUGGGUGCCUUCAAACCCAUGCAGACCAGAAGGCUGUUGGUUCUAAUCCCAAUCUGUGAAGAGUUAAGUGAUUUAAGAUGAGCAGGAGUUUGGGCAGUAGUUCUCAGCACCCUAUGGACAGGGAGAGGAAAUCAGUCAUUAUUCCAUUCACUGCAGACACCUCUACUAGGAGACAGGUGUGGACCUCAGCACCACCAAGAUCCGGGACUGAAUUUGAAAGGUUCUGUAACUUUGCCUAUUUUGCACAUGCCACCAUUCGUACUGAGGACUGACAGCUCAUAUCCAGCUCAUCUUUGACGUUGAAUCAAAUGUAUGUGUGUUCUGCUGCUUUAAGGUUCCUCACUUACCAGAAUUGUGCCUUUUGAGUGUGGAACGAUUGCAAUAAUCAUACUCCUUGAAACCAUUCUAUUUGCCGAGAUCUGAUAAACAUGUACCUGUUUUUUUAUGGUUUAGUUUCAAAUUGCUAAAAUGUUCGCAGUUAUUCUUUUAGAUAAAUGAUUCACUUUAACGUCUGAGUUGUUUGUUGGCACAUGGUAUAAUAUGUGGAAGGAAUUGAUGUAAUAGAUUUCCACCAAAAAUUUUAGGGAACUAUUGUAACUACCGUUGUGAAAAUGUUAAUGUGCAUUAUACGUGCUGGGUUGCAUUGUAUCUGAUAUAGUUGUAACCUUUACUGUGUUGGAUCAUUCUAAGAUGCAGUUGGAAACUACUCUGUGAGCGUAGUGCUCUUCAGAAUGACUGUAAUGCAUUGACACAAAAUAAACUCUCAUAGUACUGA